AUUUGAGAAAGCGACUUGCCCAAUUCAUAAAUAUCGAACAUUAAGCUGAAGAAAUUGAUUAACUCCUGGUUAUAGUUAAGCACGAACCACCAACAUUUCCAAAUAUUGCAGCUGGGGCAAAUGGAAGUACGACUACGAAAUCAGCGCUAACUUUACAAGUAAGAAGUCCUUCAGAAACUACCAUAUCAAUUGAUGAGAAACGGCACCAUCAUAGUAAUAGUCCGCAGAUAGAAUAUCAAAUACGAUGGAGGACAAGAUUCCUCCACGUUUAUUGAGAGAGUGGAAUAACUAAUUUAGUCACAUGGAAUUAACCGGAGAGGAUUACCGAGCACCAUGCAAUCUAUGACUAUAUGUAGUAUAUUAGAGGACGAGAGUUUUACACGCUUGCAGGUUUUUUCGAGCUCGCAGAAGACCUGCAGAAUACACCAACACAUAAUCAUCAACGCCAGGAUACUCUUAGAGAAAAUGACAGAAAAUCUGGAGGACAUGGAAUAAAACUACCUGCGCGAGAACGGACUCAUUGUCAACUAUCGGAAAACUCAGACGGAACCCAAUUGAAGGAAUAGGGUUCUAAGAAUCUAACUUCUUCAUCUAAUGGUUAGCAGACUUGCAGGGAUUAUAAACUCCUGAUCACCAUCGUUAUAGGACGGAAAAGCUACCGCCACAAUCGACAUAGGCACCACCGGCUGUGUCAUCAGUCAGCAAUUCAGGAAAUCGCUUAAAUUACCAACAGGAAAGUUAUUUGAACCUAUUAUAUUUUUAGUAACGCCAAAUUCAUCGGAAGAUGUAGUUUUCGAAUUAACCUUCUUGAAAGCUUUUAAAGCAAUCAUUACUAUUGUCGGUCUAGUCACAUCAUGUGAAACCUUGAAAACCGCAUUUGAACAUUGCUCUGCAACCAAUCCUCCUACCUCCGAAUGAUCAGGAAAUCUUCCAUACGCAACGAUCAUUUUAAAUAACGUCAAUAUUACUUCAACUAACAAAGUGAAAACAACAAAUUUUGACAAACACUAUUAAGAAAGAAUAUGUGCACCUUGUUGCGAGAUUCCAGUUGCCUCAUUUGACAUUAAUUAGGCAUAUUGUAUCAACAUCAAAAAACUCAAAAUUUGUGAAGUUCGAUAUAGCGUCUCCGCGUGAUAAUAUCAUGGAUGAGUAUUUCAAAACUAAAAAAACUUAAGUGAAAAAUCUUACCUAAAUUCUCUAUCUUCAGGUCUCAAUGAACGACCCCCGAAAAGUUGAUGAAGCUGGAGUUAAAGUCCGAGAAAGUCUCACGAUCUAAGAUAAGAAGAGAAAACAAGCAAUACUAAUUUCCACGCAAAGAAAUUCUCCCAAAAAGACAUCCGCCAACCAAACGAAUCCACAGGAAAACAUCAAUGAAGGCUAAGGCUAGCCUGGCGAUCUCUACCCUAUGGUGUUGACGCAACGCACACCGCCAAGCCGUCUAGACAACCUAAAUGCUCGCUCAAGGUUCUAGCUGCCAAAGCUCAGCCAUAUGAAAAAAAUGUCCCACCGGUACUACAAACCAAAAAUGAUAUUAUUGAAAGCCCAACUAGUAGCAAAUUAAUUUUACAUAUCCAACCGAGAGCCCGGCCACUCAUUAAAUCACCUCGGCAGACAAAACAAAGGACCUACUUUAACAAGCAUUUAAACUGUAAUAUUAGCCCACAAAUCGUGGCACGAUGAAGCAUUACACAUCAAUCCAUGAAAAACUGUCCUGGUUCCUUUUUCGAGCAAGAGAGAAGUAACGUGGAACAGUGUCUGCAUAAAUGUCGUUGUACUCAGCUAACCAAAUGAGAUGAAAUGCCUAGGCUUGAAAUUCGACGAAAUGUUAAUAUGAAGCUCUCAUACGAAGGAGUAAACCGGCAAAGCGACGAGAGCUCUUUUUGUCUAUCAAACCCUAUUAGGUAUAACGUGGGGUAUAAGCCCAAAAAUAAUUUACUUGUUUUACACUGCUGUAAUUCUCUCUAUGCUGGCCUAACUAGCUCUGGCUUGGUGGACCAAGGCGACGACAACGUUAAAAAAAAUGCAUCCUCCCGCUUGCAUCGGCACGACCAUUGCGAUGAGACCUUGUACUUUGAAAUCUUAAAUGACCUGCUUGGUGUAACACUACCAUCUACAUUCAUAGAAGGAGGAACCUACCUAAGCGAAUCUAGGCUGUCAAAUUAAAAUCGGGAAAUUUGAAGAGCCGCUUAAAAGUGCUGAAAAUUCCAUGAACGAACACUGCGUCGCAAAGCUAAUAGUGUCUCAACGGUUUGGAGUAACCAAACGGGCGAGACCGAGUCGAGACCGUCAAACUCUUAUACCAGAGCGGUCUUGAAGAGACAAAAAAUAACAUGAAGGGUCGUGUUGGAGUGGCGCCAAAACUUGAAUGAGCUGGAAAGCAUAAUGACGUGCACUUAAUAUGGACACUUGGCCAUUCGCGUAUUGCAGGGGAUCAAAGGACUGAUUGUUUAGCUAACAGGGGAGCGCGAGGAACAUUUCUGUGGCGUACCAAGAAGAAGAUUGGUAUCGCAAUAGGCGCAGAAAAAUCCGAUUAUAAUUAAGAACAAAGCGCAGGAGAAGGGCUAGCAAAUUGGUUUGUAAAAUCUUCAGGUACAGCACAUAGGCUACUAAAACCAGCAAGAACAAAGCUACAGUCGGUCCCCGGCUCCGGUCUUAACUCGUUCAGACAUCAAAUGAAAAAUAUGCUUAUUAUAGAAAUCCUAUCACGUGAUGAACGGAACGUGUUAUCAUAUCCUAUCUGAAUGUGAAGCGAUCUGCAGAAUCAGGCAUCCAGUGUUUAGCUACGCUAGACACUGCGCGGUGAUCCGAAUCAAACAAGGUUGGUGAGAUUCAUAACGACUCUAAAGCUGGGGGGCAAGGAGCAUAAGCCGGCAUAAUAGAUAUUUUAGGUAGCGGCAAAUAUUGCUCACACAAUAACAAUAACAACACCCGUGUAACAAUCGAAACAAACAGGUUUUUUGACCAUUCUUUUGGAUGGAGAAAAAGUAACAGAAUAAUAAUAUUCGUGCAAGUUAUUGGGCGUAUAAUGUAUCUAAUAUGUGUUACUUAUUAUAGUAAAGAGUUUGCGAACGGGGAGAUUAAAAUUCUUUACAAUAUUUCUCAAGGAAGUGUAUUUAAAUACUUAAAAAAAAACUUGUGAAGAAUUUAACAAGGGGCAACACUAUACCUAUGCCCGCGGCACACUAUCAAUUUAAAGAUCUCUGCGGCAAACAGCCCAUA